CUUGACUGUAGCCUGGAAUUGGGUUCGGGCUUUUCUUGCGCAGACUAGGUGGGAGGCUAUGAAGAUUUCCUUCCGGGGAAGUUGGAGCCAACAGUGAGAGACCACUCUGGAAAGGCUAGAAUCCUCAUGGUGAUCCUUGAAUCAGGACACUUGACAGUUUCAGGCGGGCAGUUUUUCUGGGGCGGAAACCUCAUAAAAGGUAACUGAGGUGCGCAAAGGUCCCCUCAGUCUGGACGGAAAUCAGACAACGAGUGUAAAGGCAAAAGGGGGCUUGACUGCAAGACCUACAAGUCGAGCAGGAGCGAAAGCUGGCCUUAGUGAUCCGACGGUACCGCGUGGAAGGGCCGUCGCUCAACGAAUAAAAGUUA
rnacentral:rRNA from 1 species